UACGAAGGGGGCUAGCGUUGCUCGGAAUCACUGGGCGUAAAGCGCACGUAGGCGGAUUGCUAAGUCAGGGGUGAAAUCCUGGAGCUCAACUCCAGAACUGCCCUUGAUGCUGGCGGUCUCGAGUCCGGGAGAGGUGAGUGGAACUGCGAGUGUAGAGGUGAAAUUCGUAGAUAUUCGCAAGAACACCAGUGGCGAAGGCGGCUCACUGGCCCGGUACUGACGCUGAGGUGCGAAAGCGUGGGGAGCAAACAGG
rnacentral:rRNA from 1 species